ACACAGGGAAGGAAGAGAGGAAGCCGCUGCCUUUACAAAGCCAAGGGUGCUUUUUAUUAGUGCGCCUGAAAAAAAUCUAGAGAACAUUUGACAGACAUACCCAUAAAAUCGUUUUUAUAAACAAAACACCAGCAUACAAAAUCCUGCAGUGCUUCCUCCCGUGCUCCCUACAAAAUGAUUGUCUCCAUCAUUAGUCUGUGUGUUGGGGUGGGUGGAGGGGAAAGAGGAGGAUAAAUAGAAGGGGAUGCCCCGUACUCAAACUUUGUUUCCUUCCAAAGUCAUAUGGAAGAAGCAAACUCCUGCCACCCUCCUUGGUUUACAAAAAUAAUUAACCCAGUGGGUACGUGGGGGUGGAUCAACACCUUGGCAUGAAGCCACAGAGGCAGCACCUGUGCCCUGACCCCAAGCCUUCCACAGAGCCCUGUUAUUGCAUGAUAAGCAGGUCAGUGCCCCCCUCAGUACAGCUUAGAGCCACAGCUCCUUCCACACCCAGAAAACAUCCCCCCCCCAAAAAAAACUCACUGACAGCCCUGCCAGGAGAAUGUGCCAGGGGAAUGUGGAGAUUAAACACAGCCACAUUUUUCAACCCCUAACCUUCACAAUGCUCAUUCAUACCGCCCAUAACUUAAAGCACAAUAAACACCAUCUCCUCCAGCCCCAGGACUAAUCUGGAUAAACCUCCUGGGCUGCGACUCCACGCAGAGCAACUGCAAGAGCAACAACUGCACUGCUCGUUAAUUUGUGGUCGAAUUUAUGGUUUGGAAAACAGCCCUUUAAGGUCCUUCACGGUUCAGAAGUUGUUUCAUACCUGCAAGUAUACAGAAAGGAAACAAAGAAUUGCCAAGAGGCACCCAGGGAAUUUGGCAAGGGUUGGGAGCAGCCACUGGUGUGUGCUGCAUGGAAAGCUGCUCACCCACUCCUUCCAUCCCGUAGCUCCCACUGUGCUGUGAGAGAUUUCCAGAAGCAGCUCUGUCUUGCCUACCUCUGUCUCAUCCACCCAGGAAAUGCUCCUAGCUGCCUGGGUAGGAUCAGCCCUCUCCCACUGCCCUUGUGCCACUUGGUGAGGAAAAGACAGGGAUGUGGGACAAGGGGAAUGGGGACACAGAUCUCCCACUGCCUGAGGUACCCAGCAGGAGGAGAAAGCUUCCCCAGCGAGCUCUGCUCUUAGUCCAAACCUGAGGAAAGACCAAACAGCAAGAGGUGAGGGGAACCUCUGCUGGGUACUUCUAUCCCUCAGCACUUUCUGUGCUGACAGGGAAAAGACAGGGAAAAGAGGGACUUGGAAAGACAGGUUCAAAUGAAACAUGAGCAAUGACACAACCUGCCACAAUCACACAACAAACAUGGCAGAGGUGGGAAGGGAUCUCUUUUUCCCCCUUCCUUCCCAGCCCUCAGCUGCCACAUCUGGCAGCCUCCCUGCCAGCGGCAGAAAAGCUGAUGGGCAAGAAGAAUCAUUGUCUUCCAUGUUCCUCCUGUGUCCAAAAUUCAGAGGAACGGUAAAGCUCUUCAGUGGAUCUUCCCAAGAUCCCACUGAGUGGACGUUUGCCGGCCUGAGGAACAUUUCUGCAGGGGUGAGAGCAAGGGAGGAGCAACACUGCUGGUGCUGGGACUCUCACCUGCACAGAGCAAGGACCUGGCUAAGCACUAACCAGCAGGACUGUUUGAAGCUCUCCUUAGCCCAGAGCCACGCAGAAAUAAGCCAGACUUGGAGCUGAAAAGCCUUGCUUUCUUCCUUCCAGUCAUUUAUCUGAGCUAAGGACCAGCCAGAGGUCUGCCCUUUGCAGAGCAGGUGGCCAAGUGGCAGAGGCCAACAGCCACGUCGUGCUGCAGAAACCCACCCCUGAGCAGAGACAGGAGCUUUGGGGUUUGCAGACCCCAACCUCAGGCAGGGCCAUGGGCAGGACUGACCAGCAGCAAUACAGAUACUGGAUGGCUACAGCAGAGACAGAGUUCAUGUCCCCAGUCCCCCAUCCCACCUAUGGUCACAACAUGAUGAGGUGCUGGCCCUCGGUUCUGCCUCAGAACUGCUCAGGGACAGGUAAAUUCAAUAAUCAGAGCUGGAGAUACUACAGGGAGUGCAUCUACAUGUGCCAAAAAGGAGGGGGAAGGCAGUCUGCUCUUCCAAAAGUGCUGAGAUUUCACACCACCUCCCCUUUCUUUGCAUAAGGAAGGUGGAGAAGAAAAACUCACUCCCUGAUCUUUUAUUCCUAGGUUAAUGGUACCCUUUAAGCAAGA